AGCCUUGUUGUCGCAGCCGUAGAUGAAGACGUUCUUCUUCCUCGAGUGGCCGUGCAAGUCGCAGUACAUGGCGACCUCGCGCUCCUGGGUCAGGCGCUUGAGGAGCAUCUUGGUGAAGAAGAUGGUGGGAUGGAGCGAGCGGGAGGGGCUCAGCCACUGCCUGUUGAGGUCUUGGCCCGAGAGGGAGCAGCGGUAAUUGCCGUUGAUGACGCCGUCGGGGUUGAGC
rnacentral:SRP_RNA from 11 species